CUGUGAGUCAUCAUUUGCUCAUAAAUGUUACUGAGCGCCUACUGGAUGCCGGGGACACGGUGCUGGCCAGUGUCUCUGUCCUCCUGGAACGUGCAUUUGAAUGGGGGAGAUAGUGAAUGUGUGCAUGAAAAAGAAUAAAACAACAGAAGGCUUAGUUGCAAGUGUGAAUUCAUGUCCAAGGAUUCAUGAAAGCAUCAUAGACUGAGAAAGGGAAAGAUGGGUAGAUGUCCCAGAAAAUUCAGGUUAAAAAGACUUUUAUUGGAAGCGUCAUAGGCAUCCAGGAACACCUUGUAGAGUUUAUCUCUCCUUUCUUCUUCUGGAAGAACCUCAGGGGUCAUGCCAACAUUUAGUGGAAAUGUCAAAGCAUCACUGAAGUUCCUUAAGCCAAGGACAAGUGUUCAGGUUCCAGCCCUGCCAACGCCUGUGGUUUCACUUCCCUGCCAGCCUGUGGACUUAUUCAAACAACUCACUUGGUGCAUCUCAGUUCUUCCCUCGAAGAAUUGAUGCUUUGGAACUGUGGUACUGGAGAAGACUCUUGAGAUUCCCUUGGACAGCAAGGUGAUCAAAC